rnacentral:lncRNA from 1 species
AAGCUUCGUUUAUCAUUGAUGUUAUGUGUCGAAGUAUGUUGAUGUGUGAUUAUGCACUUGUUGGGCCCUUUUGCUGUACACCUGCACUUGUAGAACUAUUUUUGUUGUGCAUUUGUUGGGCCUUGAACCUUUAUGUGUAGAGGAGUCGAUGGAUGAUCUAUUGUAAUUCAUGUGAUGUGCUACUUAAAUGAAAUAUAUACAACUAAUU